UACGGGGGGAGCAAGCGUUGUUCGGAUUUACUGGGCGUAAAGGGCGCGUAGGCGGCCACCGCAAGUCGACUGUGAAAUCUCCGGGCUUAACCCGGAAAGGUCAGCCGAUACUGCGGGGCUAGAGUGCAGAAGGGGCAACUGGAAUUCUCGGUGUAGCGGUGAAAUGCGUAGAUAUUGGGAGGAACACCAGUGGCGAAGGCGGUCCCCUGGGCCGGAACUGACGCUGAUGCGCGAAAGCGUGGGUAGCAAACGGG
rnacentral:rRNA from 1 species